UUCCCCUUCGCCUCCCACAAGAAUGUAGGGCACCUCGCACCUCGCGCGAUUGACGCCGGCUGGCCGGCGACGCGACGCCAGCAUAUGCGCCGCUGAGAGAGGGAUACGGAGGGAUGCUUCUAAUUGCGAUCUGGGGCUUUUGCACGGCGGCGGUGGCCUUGUAGCCGUCCUGUCCCACACGGCGACCAACACUCCGUCAGCCACGGAAUUCAUUGAGUAGGAGGUUCCAAUACCUUGCAGAUUUUGAUAAGUAUUCUCACACGCCAUCGUAUCCUUUUGGUUCAAUACUCAGGUCCGGUCUCGAUUCGCUAUGACAUUUCACUUAGUUGUUGUAUAUGGUUGUAUUCCUAAGCUACCAGUACCAGUAUGAUUCGGUGUGGCUUAUGUGUCAAAUCCAAUGGGGACGAGAUUUUCUAUUUCCAAAUCCAUCCAGAACAGUUAUGCUAAAUUUUUGCAUCUUUCUGCAGGAUGAUAUGUGUACGGUACUGUCUAUCCCCAAUUCACGAUGAGGAAACCGGAUGAAGACGACACAUCAGUCCUUCACCAUUCUCACCUAAACCUUUCUCAGUUCGUAUGUAAUACUUUACGUCCAUAUGCCUUUUAAGAUUUGCAAAAUAUUUUUCCUGGUAGUCAGAGCAAUCAAUGUACAGCAGUGGUGAUCAUCACAUAAUGUCCAUGCUACAUGCUGCAGACACAACAAAGAGCAUCACAGCAGAUGCACAUUUGCGUGGUUUCAGGUGAAUCAAAGUAGUAUGUUCUAUUGUUGGAGUGAAGUUUGCUAGGUUUCCGAUUAACCCGGCAUGACUAUAGUCUGGGGCUUGGUUGAUUUUUUUUUUCUGUAUAGUUCAGUUAUCAAACAUAAGUUUCUUGUAGUAGUGUAAUAUUGUAAUGAUGGCUUAGUCUUUUUACUGCAGAAACUUGCUGGAUUGGUUAUACGUUUUCUCUAAUAAUUAAUUGUUGCAACAACUGUUGUUUAACCUGUACUUGAUUACCUUGGCUUGCAAAAAAAAAACUGCGUUUUUCAACAAUUUAUAUGAUUUUUGGCUGUUGCCCUGAUCAUUGGUAUUGAGAUGCAGGUAGAUGGUCUCAUGCAGAUCUUUGUUCCUGAAAAAUCUGGUCCAGGUAUUGGAGAAUGGAGACUACUUGUGGUGGUAUGAUGUAUGUAAGCCUGAAGCUCAUGUUUUGCAAUGGCUGUCGGAUAUAUGUUAGUUUACCUAUACUCUCAUCAUAUUAUCCAUGAAUGAGUGUCCACGAUUUACAAAGUUUGAUGCUAUUGGCUUUGUCUAUGACUCAUACCAUGCCACUCUUUGUUAUUGUUGUUGAAGAUUAAAAAAAUAGCCAUUGUGAAAAA